rnacentral:rRNA from 1 species
UGGGGAAUAUUGCGCAAUGGGGGGAACCCUGACGCAGCCAUGCCGCGUGAAUGAAGAAGGCCUUAGGGUUGUAAAGUUCUUUCGGUACUGAGGAAGGUUGAUGUGUUAAUAGCACAUCAAAUUGACGUUAAAUACAGAAGAAGCACCGGCUAACUCCGUGCCAGCAGCCGCGGUAAUACGGAGGGUGCGAGCGUUAAUCGGAAUAACUGGGCGUAAAGGGCACGCAGGCGGUUAUUUAAGUGAGGUGUGAAAGCCCUGGGCUUAACCUAGGAAUUGCAUUUCAGACUGGGUAACUAGAGUACUUUAGGGAGGGGUAGAAUUCCACGUGUAGCGGUGAAAUGCGUAGAGAUGUGGAGGAAUACCGAAGGCGAAGGCAGCCCCUUGGGAAUGUACUGACGCUCAUGUGCGAAAGCGUGGGGAGCAAACAGGAUUAGAUACCCUGGUAGUCCACGCUGUAAACGCUGUCGAUUUGGGGGUUGGGGUUUAACUCUGGCGCCCGUAGCUAACGUGAUAAAUCGACCGCCUGGGGAGUACGGCCGCAAGGUUA